AUAGCCUACCAAGGCAAUGAUCUAUAGCUGAUCUGAGAGGAUGAUCAGCCACACUGGAACUGAGAUACGGUCCAGACUCCUACGGGAGGCAGCAGUGGGGAAUAUUGGACAAUGGGCGAAAGCCUGAUCCAGCCAUGCCGCAUGAGUGAAGAAGGCCUUCGGGUUGUAAAGCUCUUUUAGUGAGGAAGAUAAUGACGGUACUCACAGAAGAAGUCCUGGCUAACUCCGUGCCAGCAGCCGCGGUAAUACGGAGAGGGCUAGCGUUAUUCGGAAUUAUUGGGCGUAAAGGGCGCGUAGGCGGAUUAGUAAGUUAAAAGUGAAAUCCCAAGGCUCAACCUUGGAAUUGCUUUUAAAACUGCUAAUCUAGAGAUUGAAAGAGGAUAGAGGAAUUCCUAGUGUAGAGGUGAAAUUCGUAAAUAUUAGGAGGAACACCAGUGGCGAAGGCGUCUAUCUGGUUCAAAUCUGACGCUGAGGCGCGAAGGCGUGGGGAGCAAACAGGAUUAGAUACCCUGGUAGUCCACGCUGUAAACGAUGAAUGUUAAAUAUGGGGAGUUU
rnacentral:rRNA from 1 species